rnacentral:rRNA from 1 species
UACGUAGGGUGCGAGCGUUAAUCGGAAUUACUGGGCGUAAAGCGUGCGCAGGCGGUGAUGUAAGACAGAUGUGAAAUCCCCGGGCUCAACCUGGGAACUGCAUUUGUGACUGCAUCGCUGGAGUGCGGCAGAGGGGGAUGGAAUUCCGCGUGUAGCAGUGAAAUGCGUAGAUAUGCGGAGGAACACCGAUGGCGAAGGCAAUCCCCUGGGCCUGCACUGACGCUCAUGCACGAAAGCGUGGGGAGCAAACAGGAU